rnacentral:lncRNA from 1 species
UCUCAGCACCCAGUCAACUGCCAGAAGUGACUCAUACACAGGCCACCAGCGACAAUGCCUACGAAAUUAUUGGCCCUGAUGACGAGAGCCCUCAAGGGGCAAACGACAUCUCUGUUGAAGAAGUGAGCCCGAUACCACCUUAAGUUACCAUGACAGAUGACACGGCAGCAAUAGAUACAGAGACUGCCGUGUCUACUGCAGCUGCAACAGUGUACGAGGCAAGCAGCAGCACGUCAGCAUCAGCAGUAGUGUCAGAAGGAACCGAACCAGGCCUGGUAGGGCAACAUGUGUGCUACCACUGUGACUUUUUUGUAGUGCAUACACCUCAUCUGCUCAACAUACGGAAGCUUUUCACCACGACUGCGAGCCAGUGUUCUUGUGCAGCGAAAGCAAGACUAUGUUUGGUGUUAUAACACAGUAUAAGCAUCACUUUAAAAUAUUCAAACCUAUUACAGUUGCCUCCCCGGCCAGCCCACAUAGCGACAACAAUGUGGAACGUAUGGUGGGACACACCUCUCCCCCAUUAGAAGAUAGUAGAGAGACUGUCAGUGUGGUUGCUAGAUUAACUGGUCAUUGUAGCCGACUAGAAGGACAACACAGGUGUCAUAAGGUUGUUGUUGAUGUUGUUGGUGAAGAGGUAAAAAAGAUGUUUGAUGCAGCUGAAGCAUUGAUAUUGAGCAAAUGAAAAGUGACCGCCUGAGAAAGCUACACUAUCGAAAUUUGGGUAUCUAUAUGCCGCCAACUCUGGUAAAGCUCACAGGGAAUGGCAAAGGACAA